UACGUAGGGGGCAAGCGUUGUCCGGAAUCAUUGGGCGUAAAGCGCGUGUAGGCGGCUUUGCAAGUCGGAUGUGAAGCCCGGGCUCAACCCGGGAAGUGCACUCGAUACUGCAGAGCUUGAGUGUCGGAGAGGUUGGUGGAAUUCUCGGUGUAGAGGUGAAAUUCGUAGAUAUCGAGAGGAACACCGGCGGCGAAGGCGGCCAACUGGACGAACACUGACGCUGAGACACGAAAGCGUGGGAGCAAACAGG
rnacentral:rRNA from 1 species